rnacentral:rRNA from 1 species
GGGGAAUCUUGCGCAAUGGGCGAAAGCCUGACGCAGCCAUGCCGCGUGAAUGAUGAAGGUCUUAGGAUUGUAAAAUUCUUUCACCGGGGACGAUAAUGACGGUACCCGGAGAAGAAGCCCCGGCUAACUUCGUGCCAGCAGCCGCGGUAAUACGAAGGGGGCUAGCGUUGCUCGGAAUUACUGGGCGUAAAGGGCGCGUAGGCGGACAUUUAAGUCAGGGGUGAAAUCCCAGAGCUCAACUCUGGAACUGCCUUUGAUACUGGGUGUCUUGAGUGUGAGAGAGGUAUGUGGAACUCCGAGUGUAGAGGUGAAAUUCGUAGAUAUUCGGAAGAACACCAGUGGCGAAGGCGACAUACUGGCUCAUUACUGACGCUGAGGCGCGAAAGCGUGGGGAGCAAAC